UUUUUAUUUUCUAAUUUCUUAUUUUUUUAAAAUCUAAUUUCUAACUUAUUUUAAUGUAAUAGAUGAAAAGUUACUAUUUUAACCUUUCAAAAAUAUUAAAAAUAUGGUCAAAAUCAAAUUUUUUAGUCAACUAACAGACAUUUGGAUGAAAACCGUAAAAAAUGUCUUCCGUCGCAACGUUUCGAAUGGCUUGGGGUGACAGUUGCAACAAAUUAAAGGUUUGGAGAAAGUCUGCUAAUAUUUUAAAGGUUUGGAGCCUCUACUGCAAUUUUCCCAUUUUUUAAUUAUAUUUUAACCAUAGUUAUCAAACCCGGACCGGACCGGCCGGUUCGACCCAAAAACCGUCGAACCGGACCAUGGUCCGGUCCAGGGUCGGUCCUGUGAUAAUGGAGGCCCGAGGCGAGAUCCGUAAAUUGGGCCCCCGGACGAAAUCAACGUAAAAAUGUAUGUAAAAAUCUAAUAACAUUUUCAAUUAUGUACGCAAAAAUUUGAGCAUUACAAGUUUACGAAAACAAUACAAAAUUAAAAUAACAUCCAAAAUCCAAAACUAUCCCCAAAAAAAAAUAAAAAAUAAAAUAAUAAUUUGAAGCAAAAUUGGGCCCCCUAAGGGUUUUGGGCCUGAGGCUGAGGCCUCAAAUGCCUCAGCCCAGGACCGGCCCUGGUCCGGUCCGAGCUGCUUAAUUUUUUAGCUAUGUUGCUGAAUCGCUAAAAACCCAAAGGAACCUCCGAUUUUUCACUGAACCGCUGACCCAACAACUAAUAAACCGCUCGGUCCACAAACUUCAUUUAAAAUCCCAUUUAUCCUUCUCCUUCACAGUCCUAAGCAGUAAGCCCUAUUCCCGUUCCUGUAGAAGAGCAGCCGGCAGCAUUCCUUGGAAUUUCAUUCCCUAAAAUCCAAAUCCUCAAAUAUCAAGUUUUAUUAGAUGGAAGAAGAAGAUGUAAGUUUAAAUUUUAUGAGUUUCUUUGUAAAUUUCAGUUUUUCCCCCUCAUAUUAUGCGCGAAAAUAUAUAUUCAGAUUGGUGAUUUUUGAAAGAUUUUUACCUCAACUUCAACGACCUACCUGUCUGUAUGUUCUAUGUUGUAUACUUUACUUGAUUUUUAUCUGAAUUUCAUGCUUAAAAUAUAUCUUAAUGAAGUAUGAAUGAAUUAAUUUCAAAUGAGUAUUUCCCUUUAUUUAGGUAUCUUCAACAUUUUUUUUGAACUGCUGCAAAAUCGGUAUUAUACAAUACAUAUUG
rnacentral:lncRNA from 1 species